rnacentral:tRNA from 1 species
AAUGAAUUGGCAGAUUAGUGCAUUAAAUUUAGAAUUUAAUUAAGUAAGAUUUUUACAUUUAUUA